rnacentral:rRNA from 1 species
UCGAGGAUCUUCGGCAAUGGGCGCAAGCCUGACCGAGCGACGCCGCGUGUGCGAUGAAGGCCUUCGGGUUGUAAAGCACUUUAGUGGGGGAGAAAAGCCGAAAGGUUUGAUCUAUCCCAAGAAUAAGCACGGGCUAAGUUCGUGCCAGCAGCCGCGGUAAGACGAACCGUGCGAACGUUGUUCGGAAUCACUGGGCUUAAAGGGCGCGUAGGCGGCUUGCCAAGUCAGGGGUGAAAUCCUUCGGCUCAACCGAAGAAGUGCCUUUGAUACUGGCGAGCUCGAGCGAGGUAGGGGCAGGUGGAACUUCCGGUGGAGCGGUGAAAUGCGUUGAUAUCGGAAGGAACGCCGGUGGCGAAAGCGACCUGCUGGACCUCUUCUGACGCUGAGGCGCGAAAGCCAGGGGAGAGAACGG